rnacentral:rRNA from 1 species
CCUACGGGAGGCAGCAGUGAGGAAUAUUGGUCAAUGGGCGCGAGCCUGAACCAGCCAAGUAGCGUGAAGGAUGACUGCCCUACGGGUUGUAAACUUCUUUUAUAAAGGAAUAAAGUGAGGCACGUGUGCCUUUUUGUAUGUACUUUAUGAAUAAGGAUCGGCUAACACCGGGCUAGCAGCCGCGGGAAUACGGAGGAUCCGAGCGUUACCCGGAUUUAUUGGGUUUAAAGGGAGCGUAGAUGGGUUUUUAAGUCAGUUGUGAAAGUUUGCGGCUCAACCGUAAGAUUGCAAUUGAUACUGGCAGCCUUGAGUACAGUUGAGGUAGGCGGAAUUCGUGGUGUAGCGGUGAAAUGCUUAGAUAUCACGAAGAACUCCGAUUGCGAAGGCAGCCUACUAAACUGACACUGACAUUGAUGCUCGAAAGUGUGGGUAUCAAACAGGAUUAGAUACCCUAGUAGUC